CUGGAAGCUAGGAGAUCAAAGCCUGGUUUCUUCUCUUAGUCCCACCUCAGCUCUGCCUAUGAAGCCAUCCCUCCAUCUGACCUCCAAAGAGCAGCCUUUGUUCAUUCCAUGCAGAUGUCCUGAAUGCACACCCUGUGCAAAGGGGCGUAAACUGAGCACUUGUGGUUUCAUCCAGUUCUGGAAGAAGUGGCUGUGCAAUGGAAGGAGCCACUGUGAAUCACCAGAGUGGGGGGAAAAAAUGCAGAUUGAAAUAAACAGAGAGGCAACUGGAAAUGACGAGCAUGAGCAGGCGAUGACUAAGGGACAGAUCAGUGCGUCAGACAAGGAGCUCUUAUGGAGGUGGCUUGGAGGUGGGCAGGAGACCGGAAGAAAGAGCUAUCAUUACACUUUCAUGAUUGUGUGCCCACGUCCACCCAUGCAAAAAAAGGAGGCACUGGCGAGCAAUGAUGCCAAGUACGCUAGUGUCUGUGAAGACGAAACACCUUCAGCACUAGGAAUUACUCUGCACCUUCUUCCGCCAGUCAGCCUUUCACCAGUCCUGCACUGAGGACUGGGGACAGCUCUCAACUUCCUGUUCUCAGCCUUCCCUUCCCUGUGCCUCCCAAUCCAUGUUUACCAUCAGAGCAGAAAGAAUUUGGAGAAAGGAAUGCCUUGGUCUAAGGAGACGAUACUGAGCUGGAUGGCACUUUCUCAAAUGUUGGAAGUGCUUUUUGCUGAAGAGAUUCUGUCCAGGUCCUUGUGUAAAGUGACUCGACUCUACACGUGUAUACUCUGAGUCACCUCCAGCUCCAUGAUGGUCACAAACCUACUUCCAGUGGUGUAGAGUCCAUCUACAUAGUCUCCCCUUGCCCACACUCUUGACUUCCUACCUGCCCAACGUCUACCAGCUGAAGGGGGAGUACACAUUGGACUGGAAAUCAAAGAACAGUGGAGUCUUCUUCCAAUUUUACUUGGAUUCCAGGUAUCAAACUCAGGUUUCUAUUGCCGUGAUGAAACACCAUGACCAAAAAGGACAAAUGGAAAACGGAAAAUAGAAGCAAAGGGCCUGGGAGUGUGACUCAGACUGGCCUGACAUACACAAGGCUGAGUGAAAGGAGCAACGCAGAGAAAGAGACAAAUCCAGAGCGCCUGGUGGAAUGCCGGAAGAAGGGGGAGUAAGCUGUGAGAAGGGUCAAGUGCGGAGUAAUGGAAGCUGGAGUCUGGAAGAGGAGACUGGAGCAUGCGAAAGGCAGACGUGAGGAAUGCGGACAGAGACCAGCUCACUUGAGCGUUUCCUCUGCAGCAUGAGCUGGUCUGCAAGAGCUGCACCCAAGAAAGGGUGGAAGCCUCUGAGAGCCAGGAAGUGUUCUAGGUGCUGUAUUGCUUCAUCACUAAUAAUCUCAGCUACUUGGAAAGAGUCCAGAGGAUGGUGACAGGGAGAGUGGUGAUGGAUGGUGACCCCGCCUAUUUGCCAUCUCCCGGCUCCUUCCUCCUUCGCUGCUCUAACAGGGAUGGUGACCAAAGCUGGAACUUGUAGUGGUUGGAGGGGAGGGAGAGCAGCCUUUUUUCACACAUUCCUGCAAUCCCAUGUCGCCUUUCCUCCUCUGUUUGGCUGCCACACCCAGUUCCCAUCAAUUCAGGGAUGUGAUUAUCAGGAGAAAUGGCCAAAAGUGCCUCACCAACUAUUACAGAAAGAAUGACUCAGGACCUCCUGACGUUGUUGUUUGGAACCUUCCGUGGUGAUAGUUAACAGUAUCCCAGAUCCUGGACCAGAUAUUCUGCACAUUUUUCACAGCAUCAUGUAUGACAAGCAGUUCAGCUUGCAUGGGGAAUAGAUACUGCUACAAUGCAGCCUGUUUGACAAGUGAGAAAACAGCAUGGCGUUGUGCCUCUUCUUAUCCAUAUUUUGCCUUCCAAUAAGACACCUUACUAUAUUGAAAACCCCAGACCUCCUUCUGGAAAAGGCCUUAGACAUGGUGGAUUCUAGCCUCUCACAUGAAGCAGGUAUCAUUCUGUGGCUUGAACAGUCUUGGACUCAACAGGUAGCCUGCUCCAUUGUGCAUCGCUCUAACUGAAUCAAACCCUGAGGCUUGUUUCCCAGGCAGCCCAGAGAAAACAUAGCCAUGAAGGUGGAAAGGCUCCCAGUUCUCCCAGCAUAUGCAAGUCCUCACUGGGAUGAGCAAGAGAAGGACCAUUUCCUAACCUGACCAGGAAGAAAGACAACACCACGCUCCAGUGGGGUCCUGGAAAAGGUGGCUCUUAGGCUCUGACUCCGAGAAACCAUAGACGGUUUGUCAGCCUUAAAUCACCCAGAGGGAGGACACUGGCAUGUUGCGCCCUGGGGAUACCGUUAGGUCAAGUCCAAAACUGUUCAGCAAACAUUUGUUUAGAUCCAAAAAUGGAUAUCAAAAUGCCGAAGCCCAUCUCUGCAGGUGGUGACUCACAAAUCAGUUUGAAAGCACAAGGUACCCCUGGAAAUGGCUUCCUUGUCCAAUCUUAACGAGCCUAGCUGGCUACAUUUCUGGUUUCCCUUCAGGCUGGUGGACAGACCCACCAAGGCCUUAUCAGCUAGCUACAACACCUGGAGGGGGCUCAGUGGUCUUUUCCCACUCCCAUGCCCACCAUCUGGGCUGUGUCCCCUGAAGAGGGAUGGGACAUUUGCUCAGAGAGACAUGGGCAGCGCAUUUCUAUUGAAAAAGGCCUGUAAGGUAACCAGGGACAUUGCUGGCCAGGAGAUAGCUGCCUGGAAGUAACAACCAACCUCUUGAGAACCUGCUUAUCCAGGUGACAGCCACCAGCACUGUUGCUCUGCCCUCCUGGGCAUGUGUAUGGAGAGCAGGCAAGCAGAGACAGGAACUUUCCUGAGAACUCAGGAAACUAUAAAUAAAAAAGAAAAUAGGAACCAAACCUUUUCACACUAAAGGGAGUCCGCAUAUGGAAGAAGUUACUGGAACAAAAAGUCAGCAAGGGACAUAAAUGAGUUCACCAUACAUCUUGCUCAGUCGGCUAGAACAAGGCCCAGAGGGACGCAGAAUAAGAAAGGAGAGAAUAGGCCACGAUCUCCCUUUCUUUAUCAGUUAUACAUUCAUUGGUUCCACAAAAAUGUCAGAGAAACUAGGCACUUGAAAUGUGAGAUAGAAGGAUCAUGGGUUCAAGGCUAGCUUGGGCUACACAGUGGAAUCUUGUCUUUAAAAACAAUAAUACGAGGGCUGGAGAGAUGGCUCAGAGAGUAAGAGCCUCCUCGGCUGCUCUUCAAGGGGAGUCGGAGUCAAUUCCCAGAACACACAUGGAGGCUCACAUCAUAACCACCUCUAAUUCCAAUCCCAGGGAUACAUAUGAUGUCCUUGUGUGGCCUCCUUGAGCACUGCAUGGCUGUGUGCCACAGCCAUGCAUUUGGGUGAACACUCAUGCAUAUAAAAUAAAAAUAAAUACCCCCCCAAAGAUUUAGAAAUGUGAUUUAAAAGUAAAAACAAUGGUAUAAGGACUGAGAAUUUAGCUCAGUGGGUAAGAACACUUGUGCAACCGUGAGGACCUGAGUUUAGACCCCCCCUCCCACAGCACCCACGUAAAAAUCUGAGUGUGACUGUAUACUCUGUAACCCCAGCAGUGUGGGGAGAGCAGACAGGAGGGAUGCUGCCAUUUUAUGGCCACCAGCCUAGCUGGAUAAACAAAAGUUCAGUGAGAAGCUAUAUCUCCAGGGAUUAAGAUGGGGAGCAAUAGAUAAGGAUAUCCAAUGUUCUCUUGGCUCUGUACACACAGGUACACACACACACACACACACACACACACACACACACACACACACUGAUGACUACCUACUAGACAGCCAUUGUGCCAGAUUCCAAGGAACAAGGAUGAAAUAAAGCCUGGUCCCUGUUCUUAAAUUUCCCACUGAGUAGUGUUGUCAUUGCCUAGGGCUUUUUCAGUUUUAGGGUUCUAUUAUAAGUCUCUCAGGAGGCACUGGUGAGAUGGCUCAGAAGUUAAGGGCAUUGUCUGCCCUUGCAGCGGACCCAGAUGCAAUUCCCAGCAGCCACAUAGUGGCUUACAACGGGCUGUUAACUCCAGACCUAGAGGAUCUGACAUCCUCUUCCGGCCUCUGUGGGCAUGGCAUGGAUAUAAUGCAUACACAUACAUACAUGUAGGUGGAAUAGCCAUAUACAAAAAAGUGAGUCUUUUUUGUAAGCAAUAGCCUGGCUUUUAAAAGCAAGACACACCCACCUAUAGUUCAGGGCACUGUUUUUACAGGGUUCAAAAGUAUUUGAUCACUGGCUAAUUGGAAAUUUAAGCAAGAGGGCAAUAACCAUGAAGCCUAGCAUUUUGUGGGGGUAGCCUGUACUUUCCUGUAAUUUGGAGAAUGUUUAUGUAUGAAGGAAAAUAAGACAAUUGACUAUCCCAGACAUUUUUACUUUCAGCUUAUUAAAUAAAAAGAAAACAUUUUUUAAAAUUGUAUAUAGUCUGUGUGUGUGUGAGAGAGAGAGAGAGAGAGAGAGAGAGAGAGAGAGAGAGAGUGUGUCAUAGCCCUUGUGUGAAAAUCAGAGGCCAACAUUUAAAAAUCUAUUCUCUCCUUCUACUGUGUGUGGAAAUCAGGUAUGGAAAUCAGGCUUUCAGAAUUGGCAGCAAGUGCCUUUACCAGCUGAACCACCUUGCUGAACAACAAAAAAAAAGUCAACUAUUAAGAAAAAAACAAAACUAAAAACACUUCAAAUCACAAAAAAAGUUAUCAUCAUAGUUAAAUUUACUGUAUACAUUUAAAUUACAUUUUGAGCUACCAUUAUAAUAUUGCAUAUUUUUAAAAGAUUUUCCAUUAACUCAGGGUUUUGUUUUGUUUUAACACGCCAUGUAGGAAUAUGGAGGCUGAAACCUCAUAUCUGGAGCAAGAAGUCAUCCACUACAACCCCAGAAUUUCCUAAAGUUAGCAAAUCUGCCAACAUUGGUGGUUUUGGGCCAUUUCCCACACAGCAGCUCUGCCCCGCAGAGGCCAGAGCCCAUAUUCAGUGAGGCUCAAACCUACAGAUUCAAGCUGUGUUGAGCAGUACCACCUGGAAAGGUAAAAGUGUAAAAACAGCAUAAAAAGUAAACUUGAACUCCACAUCCCAAAUGCAGAAAGAGCAGCGUUCUGUCUGUUUUUCCAUAGCGUGCCCUGCAGGAGGGGACAAUUCGG
rnacentral:lncRNA from 1 species